AUAUUUGCUCCCGGUCAAGGUUCCCCGCCGGCGGCUGCCGGCUUGGGAUCAAAAGGGAACUCCUGUGCAAAUCAGGGACUAUCCCCGUAGCUGUAAGCUCCGUUGCGCUCCGCACACUCUCUGAGCCACUGUCCGUCGGACGGGAAGGCGUGCGGAAGGAGCGAGUCAGAAGACCUGCCUGACCGAUAUACGGCACC
rnacentral:ncRNA from 18 species